rnacentral:lncRNA from 1 species
GUUUAUGAUAACAAAUAUGGAAAAAUGGACUUUUAAAAAUCAUGUAAAUUACAACACAAAAAUCAGAAAGCACAACGUUUAUACAAAAUCAUUCGGCCAACUUGCUGGCAAUUAAGUUGGGAUACAAUGUGCUCAGGGUGAAAACAAGAUCAGAAAUGAAAAUAAAAUAGCCACAAAAAAUUGGAAAAGUUUUGGUUUUGGUUUUCUUGAGUACCUGUACCAGCAAUUCAGCUGAUCAUUAAACACAACCAGAAAGAAAGGCUCUAUUUUGCCUGUAGAGAGUUCAUCCAGAGACUGCCCAAGGGAUUUGUACAGAAUAAAGCUUCACAAAACCCAAGGGCUGUCAGAGGGAAAUGGUAUCCAGGAGGACAGGGCAGGCCAAGUAUCCCCUCAACAGCAAAGCCACACUAGAAAGCCAGAGGCAGCACUGUGGCUGCCAACACAACCGCCUACCACGUCUGCCAAGGAGCCAGAAGCCGCUUGUGGGAAAAUAUCACUUACCCUUAGCAUCUGGGUCCUGUGAUUGUUAUCCAAAGAGACAGAAUGAAAUUGCCACAGCCACCCCAACUUCAGUUAGCAGAUACCGACGUUGAGGCAGGGCCUUCCAAAGUCCACCAGGAAAAAGAUUACCACUUGCUGCAGGCUUGGAUGAUCAUUAGAACAUUUUAGCAAUAAAGUAUUUUUUAAAUUAAGGUAAGAUAUAUGCUUUUUUCUUAACCUAUAAUGCUAUUGAACACUUAAUAGACUACA